rnacentral:autocatalytically_spliced_intron from 1 species
GUGAGCUGCUUGAGGGAAAACCUCACGAUCAGUUCUUAUGGGGAGGGGCUGGAAACGGACCGGGUUUGCCGCGUACCGCGCCAGUUCCUUACCCGCC